UGACAUCACACUUUGGUACUCUAUUCCACUUCAGAACUGAAAACUUCAAUUUAUCUUCAAUUUAUCUCUGAUUUAUAUUUCUCUCUACAGCAAGCACAGAGUGCUCUCCACAAGAGUAAAGCCCUGGAAUCAAGGGUUCAUCUGGCAGAAGCAGCCCAACUGGAAGCAGGGAAUAUGGAGUAAGAUUAGGAAGAAUUUGUUGUCAUGCUUGAUGAUGAACUCGACAAACUCGGGUCAGUGGUCAAGAGAAUGCCCUGCAAUAUGCCACCAGAACCAGUGAUGGCAUUUAGUGCCAUUCACGAGAACAGAUCCCUGGAAUCAAGGGUUCAUCUGACAGAAGUGGCCCAAUUGGAAGCAAGGAAUAUGGAGCUCGAUUAGGAAGAAUUUAUUGUCAUGCUGUAGGAUGAACUCAACAAACUCGGUCAAGGUCAAGAAAAUACCCAGCAAUAUGCCACUUGAACCAGUGCUGUAUACAGAGGGUAUAGAGUGCUAUUCAUGAGAGCAAAGCCCUGGAAUCGAGGGUUCUACUAGCAGAAGUGGCCCAACGGGAAGUGCUGUAUGUGGAGGUAGAUGUUGGUGCAUGCUGGAGGAUGAACUCGACAAACUGGGGUCAGUGGUCCAGAAAAUGCGCUGCAAUAUGCCACCACAACCAUUGUCAUGACACUCAAUGUGCGUCAUGGAUACAACCCCUAUCUGGUGUCUACCAUCUUCCAAGCAUAAAUAAGAGAGACAGUCUAUCUGAGACGAGGACAUAACACCAAUCUUAGAAUCAUUUUCUACAGGGAGUGUCUGGUUUGAAAAGUUAUUGGUCUUUGUGUGAUCAUGUAGAUCAUAUUAAUUGAACAAAUCAUCACUUUAAACUUUAUGUUAAUAUAUCCAAAACUCUUUAUCACCAAAUAUGGGAUUCUUUAUUUAUUUUUCCUCAUGAACCCAUCAUUUUUUUAAUGUGUUUUAUAACUUUUGUGUAGCCCGAAGCAGCAGGUCCAAGCUAUUAUCUUUUUUGCUGAAAUUUCAUUGUAUCUGAAUUAUCUGUUGUUUCAUUAUGUAGGGCAUGGUUAUAGGAGUAAAAAGUAAUUUGUUCAUAAGGUUGGAAAUGAUUUUUCAAGUGUUUGGCUUAGAAUUAAUUCUAACUUGGCCGGGGCAUAUUGGGAGAUCAUAUGGGUGAAAGGCUUCCCUGAAAUUUUAGUCGUCAACCUGAUAAUUGGCAUGCACGUUGCCUUGGACCUAAUCUACAAAAUUGUAUGAUGUUUAUUUUAUGAAAAUUGCUAUUAACUAUGUUAAUUCAUGCACAAGUGGUAUGAAAAAUCAUACCUUUUUGCUCCCAAAAGUAAAGCUACAAAUGACCUAAGUUUUGGUGUAGAAACUCUGUGUUGUUCUCCGCAAAUGCUCUUGAAAAAAAAGUUGAUACCAGAUCAAUUUCUUAUGUAUUGGAUUGUUUCUGCAAUUUUUGUCUCACCUGCAUAGCAGAGUGAGACUAUAGGCGCCGCUUUUCCGACGGCCACGGCGGCGUCAACACCAAAUCUUAACCUGAGGUUAAGUUUUUGAAAUGACAGCAUAACUUAGAAAGUGUAUGGACCUAGUUCAUGAAACUUGGCCAUAAGGUUAAUCAAGUAUUACUGAACAUCCUGCCUGAGUUUCAUGUCACAUGACCAAGGUCAAAGGUCAUUUAGGGUCAAUGAACUUAGACCAUGUUGGGGGAAUCAACAUCAAAAUCUUAACCUAAGGUUAAGUUUUUGAAAUGUCAUCAUAACUUAGAAAAUAUAUGGACCUAGUUCAUGAAACUUAUACAUAAGGUUAAUCAAGUAUCACUGAACAUCCUGCGUGAGUUUCACAUCACAUGACCAAGGUCAAAGGUCAUUUAGGGUCAAUGAACUUUGGCCGAAUUGGGGGUAUCUGUUGAAUUACCAUCAUAACUUUGAAUGUUUAUGGAUCUGAUUCAUGAAACUUGGACAUAAUAGUAAUCAAGUAUUACUGAACAUCCUGUGCAAGUUUCAGGUCACAUGAUCAAGGUCAAAGGUCAUUUAGGGUCAAUGAACUUUGGCCAAAUUGGGGUAUUUGUUGAAUUACAGCUAUAAAUUUGAAAGUGUGUUGGUCUAGUUCAUAAAACUUGGACAUAAUAGUAAUCAAGUAUCACUGAACAUCCUGUGCGAGUUUCAGGUCACAUGAUCAGGUCAAAGGUCAUGUAAGGUCAAAGAACUUUGGCCACGUUGGGGGUAUUUGUUGAAUUGCCAUCAUAUCUCUAUAAGUGUAUUGGUCUAGUUCAUAAAACGUGGAAAUAAGAGUAACCAAGUAUCACUGAACAUCUUGUGCGAGUUAUAGUAGUUUUCAAAAUCAGCACUGCUGCUAUAUUGAAUCGUGUGAUGCAGGUGAGACGGCCAGAGGCAUUCCACUUGUUUAAUGUAUUUCUUUUAUUUUACCUUUGCUUUUCAUUGUAUUUUAGAUGAAAUUUGUUGGUGAUCAAUUAAUUUGAAUCAAUGAGAGUAAAUAUACUCAUUUAUCAAUAUUUGGCUGAAAACACAAUUUGCACUAAAAUUGUACACAAAAUCACGUUUUAGAGCAAUUUUUGGUCCGACAUGCUUGUACAAAUUAUGCAUAUCUUCGGAACUGCAUUCCUGGAUGCUACAAAUUUGGUCUUAAAAUAUGCGAAGAAAGUCACAAAACAACAUGGUGAGAGUUUUUCAUGUUAAAAAAAUAUUGCAUGAGCGUCAAGCAGGCCCUUCAAGCCCCCCUUCCCCCCCCCCCACCCCGGCCUAGUUAGGAAAGUUUUUCUUGAUGAAGUAUUUAUUUAUUUAUGUGUUGACAAUUCUGCAAAAGUGGAUCCGAAGGUUUUCCAGAGUUUUUGUCUAUUGUGUUUUAUCUCUGGUUUUUUACCCUGGAUCUACUUGUCGUAGAAUUAUUCUCCCCCCCCCCUUUCGUGCACAUUACUAUUAUACCUAUUUUCCCAUUAAUUUCAUUAAUAUUUAUUUUCAUCAUACAUUAAUUACACCCUAAAAAUUUAGAAUAUUUUGUAAGGUGUUAAUUUCGAGAUAAAGGUUUUUCUAUGCUCAGAAUAUGAUGUAUUUUGUGUUAUUAAUCUUUAACCUAUUUGUUUAGGCCUAUCAGCAACAAUCAAAGUUUGUUAUUACCAUAUUCAAUUUAUAUCUGUUAAUUUCUAGCAUUAAUAUCUGCAUACGUGAUAAAAUAUAUUUCAGAAGAAUGAAUGAUGUCAUUAGCAUAAAUAAUAAACAAAGGACCUUGUAUAGUUAUUUGUGGGACGCCAAAUGUUAUAGACAAAAUAUCAGAUUAAUCAUCAUUAAAAAGUAGCAAAAUAAACCCCUCACAAAAAGUUCCAAAACUCAAGUUUGAUGGAUGAUUAUUUGUUUAAUACUGAACCACUAAAAAUGAAAAUGGUGUUAUUGGUUAGCCUCUUUGCAAUGAGGUGCCAUUUGUUUUUAUUCUAUUAUGAAAUUUGCAGCCACCCUUUAAAGGUCAAGUCCACCCCAGAAAUAUGUUGAUUUUAAUCAAUAGAAAAAUAUCUACCAAGCAUAACAUUGAAAGAUUUUUCAAAAACGGAUGUAAAAUAAGGAAGUUAUAUUUUUAAGUUUCACUUAUUUUUCACAAAACAAUAUUGAAAUAACUUGUUCUCGCGAUAAUUCAAGAACUGUUUGAGAGAUCAACUCUAGUCUUUCAAUCUGUGUUUUCCUUCAGCAAGAUGUUUACCCUCAUUUUGCCGCACUCAACCCAGGUUUAGAUGAAAAACCAUGGUAGAUAGGUGCACUCAGUGUUACUGGGUUAGAAAGUGCUCUCAUAUUUUUGGAUAUUUUAGUUUCUCUUUCUUAAGUAUAUUAAACUAGCAAAACAAUUCUGGGAAGUGUUCACAAAAAAAAAAUCUCUGACCAAAGUCAUGGCGAAAGCAUUAACAUGCUCAUGAUCUUUGAUAUACAGUCUGAUCAAUUCAUUUGCAUUAGAGCACGUCCUUUGAGAGUGAUUCAAUCAAUAUAUUGAUCUGUUAUUUUCCACACGCAAGUAGCUAUUUAAUCACAUUUGAUUUUUUGUGAAACACUUCUUUAAUUUGUCUCUUAAGGCCUCCGCACACCUUUCGAGUGGUCCACAAUCUGAUUUUGGAGCAAAUUACAUUAUGCUAAUUUUCUGUAAUGUGAUUGACAAAUAUCUUUUCAUUCGAGGCUUAAAUUAACUGAGAAUACUAAAUAAUUUUAUUUGAUUUCAAGCCUUUAUUUUUUUUUUGUGAAGGCCAAAUUGGUUUUAAAUUGUAGGAAAUUGUAUGAUUGCUAUGACAUUUCACUUUUAUUCAAAUGAUGAUGCUUGCAUAGUCACAGAUUUCAAUGAGUAUUCAUUGGAUGAUUUAGAAUUUUACACAGGAAGAUGUCACAUGUCUCUAUGUUCAAAACGUUUUACUCCUUAAUUGGUUCGCAGACCAAUCAAAAGGUGUGCGGUGACCUUUACAUCAAUGUCAGAUAGCUUGGACCUGUCCUACAGUGUACAAUUGUCUGUGCUAUAUACAAUACUUGUUUUGUAUUCAUGAAGUUUAUUUUUCUUUUUUGAAAAAAUAAAUUGUAAGACCAGCAGCCCGGAAGAUUCAUUCAAGUUGCAGGACCAUAGCAGUUGACCUUGAUUGAUGGUGGUAGGCCCUAAACCUUGCAAACAUGGCUUCCUGUCUAGUUUGAGCUGGGAUCUUCCUGCCAAAAUCACACAAUUAGUGACAUCACUACCAAGAGAUAUAUUCUUCAGUGUGCAGAGAAGGGCACUGGACACAGUUGUGCAUGGUAUACAACUUACCACAAUGUAAGUGUUUUAAUCAUGAUUUCAAUGAUAUUUUGUGUAGCCGAAAGUAUGUGAGACAAUGCAAUCAAUUUUCCAGUAAUUAUGUACUGAGGGCAUCAGGGCAAUAACCUUUGUGAAAAUAUUUGGCGGCAAUUUUCCCCACAUCACCUUAACUGGUAUUUCUUCCCAUUUCUGUAUCCUUUUGUUGGCUGUGCCGGAUCAAACCAUUGAUUAUAGUCUUUCUUUAUAUACCUCCCAGUACUAUUUGUUCUAGAUGUUGCUCGAACUUUAUCUUUGUUUCACAUUGUUGCAACAUGAUAUCUGCCAUGACUGAUUUAAUAAUGUGCUAAGAAGAUAAACAAUUUUUAUUAGAAAUUUAUAUAUACAGACAUUGAUCUUUUUUUUUUUUAUUGCAGAGCAAUGUGAAUUAUUUUGCAAUAUAUAUAUUCUCCUUUUCUGUACGUGUUCUUUUUUUGGCCAGACUGAUUUGAAUUAAUAUAUCAAACUUUAUCGCGGUCAUUUCACCAUGUACGUACAUAAACCCCAUGUUUGUGCCGAGUGCGUAUCCAUCGUGUAUUCACAGAAUGUGAAGAGAUAAUGUGGACUGCACGAAUGUUAAGAUAUGUGAUGAUAAGGUAGAUUCUCAAUGUAGGUUUGUCUGCCCAAAUCUUCAACUUCGGAUAUAAACUUUUCCACCCAUUUUUAUGAGGGUUGUGCACUUCAAUGAUUUUUCCACAAUGUGUAAAAAAAAAAUGCUUCUUCAAUCAGAGCAAUAUAUGUAAGUCUGGAAUCUUGUUUCAAAAUUGCAAUGUCAAAUUUUGAUUUCUAGAGCCUUGCCAGUGUAGUGUUUCAAGUUGACCCAUGUUGAUAUUUGAAUUAUUGAUGGAGCAGUUUAGCCAAUAUGGCUUUGGAGCUUAGUGGCAUUGAUCAAGAUCGAUCAAAAACUGGCUUUCACUCUAAAUCGAUGCAGGUAACCAUUUGUUCUUCACAAAGUGAAGAGAGAGGAACUGGCGAAGUAUGUUCGAAGAGAGUGCUGCUGACUUCCGGAAAUUUGUUUCAGUCGCAUGUGACAUCUUUAUAUUUGGUGUUUGGAAUCUGGUAAUGUUGCGAUAAUCUUCAAGUACUGUCUGACCACAAGGAAAGGUGUUACUUUCAGCCUACGCAUGAUAUCCAGAGCUCUUCAAAACCUCGUGCAAGUCACACACUUCUGUGACUCACAAAUGCUGAUAUCUUGUGAGAGGGUUGGCCUCUUUGGGGUGGCAUUACAGGAAUUCUCAGUGGAUCUAGUUCCAGUUAGUCAUUUUUGUCUCGCCUGCAUAGCAGAGCGAGACUAUAGGCGCCGCUUUUCCGACGGCGGCGGCGGCGGCGGCGUCAACAUCAAAUCUUAACCUAAGGUUAAGUUUUUGAAAUGACAUCAUAACUUAGAAAGUAUAUGGACCUAGUUCAUGAAACUUGGACAUAAGGUUAAUCAAGUAUUACUGAACAUCCUGCCUGAGUUUCAGGUCACAUGACCAAGGUCAAAGGUCAUUUAGGGUCAAUGGACUUAGACCAUGUUGGGAAAAUUAUUUUCAAAAUCUUAACCGAAGGUUAAGUUUUUUAAACGACAUCAUAACUUAGAAAGUAUAUGGACCUAGUUCAUGAAACUUGGACAUAAGGUUAAUCAAGUAUAAGUGAACAUCCUGCUCGAGUUUCAGGUCACGUGACCAAGGUCAAAGGUCAUUUAGGGUCAAUGAACUUUGGUCAAGUUGGGGGUAUUUGUUGAAUUACUAUCAUAACUUUGAAAAUUUAUGGAUCUAGUCCAUGAAACUUGGACAUAAGGUUAAUCAAGUAUUAGUAAACAUCCUGCCUGAGUUUUAGGUCACAUGACCAAGGUCAAAGGUCAUUUAGGGUCAAUGAACUUUGGCCAAGUUGGGGGUAUUUGUUGAAUUACUAUCAUAACUUUGAAAAUUUAUGGAUUUAGUUCAUGAAACUUGGACAUUAGGUUAAUCAAGUACCACUGAAUAUCCUGUGCGAGUUUCUGGUCACAUGACCAUGGUCAAUGGUCAUUUAAGGUCAAUGAACUUUGGCCGUGUUGGGGGUAUAUGUUAAAUUACCAUCCUAACUCUGAAUGUUUAUGGAUCUAGUUCAUAAAACUUGGACAUAAGAGUAAUCAAGUAUCACUCAACAUCCUGUACGAGUUUCAGGUCACAUGACCAUGGUCAAAGGUCAUUAAAGGUCAAUGAACUUUGGCCGUGUUGGGGGUAUUUGUUGAAUUACCAUCCUAACUGAAGUUUAUGGAUCUAGUUCAUAAAACUUGGGAUAUAAGAGUAAUCAAGCAUCACUGAACAUCCCCUGUGAGUUUCAGGUCACAAAACCAAGUCAAAGGUCAGUUAAGGUCAAUAAACUUAGGCCAUGUUGGGGUAAUUGUUGAAUUGCCAUCAUAACUUUGAAAGUUUAUGGAUAGAGUGAAUGAAAUGUGGACAUGGGUGUAGUUGACAGUCUUAAGUCUCCGUUCAAAUGCCAUUUAUGGUCAAUGAACGUGGUAUUAUGUCAUUAUAUGAAUGAUGUUUUUGUGAAUGAUUAUUUUAUAGUAGUUUACAAAGUUAGCACUGCUGCUAUAUUAAAUUGCGUAAUGCAGGCGAGACUGCCAGAGGCGUUCCACUUGUUGUCUUUUACAGCCAUUUGAUAUUUUCCUGUGUUUGUUGGAUUUUCCAGAUUUAUUUGACUCUGAUGACAUGAAAGGCAAUGUGAAGUCUUGGUAUUACAGAGUCAGAGUCAAUCUUGUCACUAAAAGAGAAGCUACAUACAUCUGAUACAUUUUCUGGCUUAGUAAUUCUAGUUAUUAAACUACAACGCAUUUGUGUGAAUUCUAAUAAGGCAGAUUCUUUGUCACCAUUCAUAUUCUGUGUCGGGGAGGAAACGCUCUUUCUUUGGAAUUAAUUUUGAAUAGAUUUCCUGUGCAGAGGAAACUUCAUCAUGUUCAGGUAUCCAUUAAAGUGAGGGGACGUUCCCGUGUUUAACCCUAUAUAGCCCAGGCUAAUUUGAAAUUACAUAGACGGGGGGGGGGGGGGCAUUCUUACCCCCCCCCCCCACCCCUGAUCUUAGUUUUUGAUUUGGAUACUAUCUCUCGUUUUUUUAAUGAAAGUUGUCGAUGUCACUAUUUCAAUCAUAAAUACAUGAAUUCAGUAGUUCGUAAUCAGUAUCUAUAGGUAAAAAUAAUGAUGCAUGUAUGAAUUUUGGCUACAUACAGAAUUUUCAUUGGAUUUGUCAAAUGAAAUCACAUUUUUGAGCAAUUUUGGUCUGACAUGCGCUUACAAAAUGUUGCCUAACUUUGUAACUGCAUACCAUUGCAUUGUAAAUUUGGUCUAUAAAGUUGCGUGAGAAAAAUUUCAUGACAAUUUGUGGCCUGAUCUUUACAAAUAUAUCACAAAAAAUGUUGUGGAGGCUAAAAAAAAGCCCCCCCCCCCCCCCCCGGGCUAUAUAGGGUUAAGGUAUGCAUGUACCUGCUUACCAUUGCCAGUUAUAUUGGGAGGUCCUCCACUCAAUGAUUCAAUUUGUUUACGAUCUUGUGACAUCUAAAAAUCUUUCAUGGGAACUUGUGAGUCUUUCACUUCUUUGCAAUGAUCAUACAAUGCAUAAUUUUCAGACCAUCAUAAAAUUAUUUCCUUCUUGCUUAUCGUUCCUUUGAUCAAGUCAGAGGAGUUUCUCAGCCACGUUCUGAAGCUUGACAUGAAGUGAUGCUAGGCUGUUCAUUCAUCCAUCUUCCAGUCUGAUGGUAGGGCAGUGAUUGGUAGAUUUUUCCAACAGUGUCCCUUUGGCUAAAGAAAUGGUUUCCUAUAUCCAGUGUGGAAUAAGUUUGGGAAAUUUUGUUGGGUGCUGUCUGUCAGAUUUGACAUUGCAUGAUUUGGUAGAUUGUUCCAACGCUCCAUGACCCUUUGGCUAAAGAAGUGGUUUCCUCCAUCCAGUCUGGAACAAGUUUGGACAAUUUUAUUGGAUGCUGUCUGUGAGAGUUGUCAUUGGUUCUUGAUGACCAUUAAGCUGAAGAAAUGGUUUCUUAUAUCCAUGGAAAGAUUUUUUUAAAUUUGAUUGGUUGCCGUCUCUGAAAUUUGACAUUUUGCUUCACUACUAGGGUUCAUGCAUUGUAUUGCAAUGAUUGAUGGGGGAUUAUAAACCAUUGUGGAAUGUGAAGUGUACUCCCUCAGGACAAGCCUACUUUGAGGUUCCAACCCAUUAGAUCUAUCUUUCAUUGUCGGUGCCUCGCCUGAUCUCUCAGAGUUCAUGGUUAUGUGAUGGAUAUGCAAGCCAACAUUUGGUUCUUGUAUGAUGGUGAAUGAAUAAAUUAGCUAUUUUUAUCAAAAUGCAGUGUUCACUGAAAAUUCAUAGAACCGCGAUUGCAUCAUGAACAGAAAAGGAUAUAUUUAUUUGCAAAUCAUAAUAUAUUCCAUUUGCUCUUUUGAAAAGAAAAGCUCCCCUUUGAAAAUAAAUCUAUUGGCUAGGUUUUUUUAAUGAGAUGAUAUAAAUUAAAUUGUUUAAUAAAAAUAUGAAAUGUGAAAAAUGAUUAGUGAUAAUACUAAAAAAUAUUAAUUUGAACAUUAGAACAUUGUAGUGUCAGUCAUGGAUAGUUAAUGUUGAAAGGAUGUGAAAUGAUUGAAAAUGGGCAGAUACAGGAGCAUAUCAUGACAAGUUUUGUUAGUGAUAAUCACUAAUUUGCACUUAGCAUGAUUUUUUUGUGAAAAUCACUGACAAUUCUUCAUGAAAUGCUUCCCUGGAUGGAUAGUACAGGGAGGUAUGGGAAGAGAGCACAAUUAGUGGAGGGGAAGGGGGAAGGUGAGAUGGUUGUAAGGAAGGGAGCAGAUUAAAGGAAAUAAGGUGGUGGUUUUGUUCAAGGGUGAAUGAAAAGACUACAAAGGAGAUUAAUAGAUUGAUUCUUAUGGCAAGGAAGGGGGAUGGGGUUGGUAAAGGAAAUUUCUUUUUAUGAAUGAAUGUUCCCCCUAAAAAAAAGUGUUGCCCCCAGGAAAUAAUCACUUGAAAAUUUGAUGCAUUGUCUUUCAUACUCUUGGCUACACAAAAGAUCAUUGAAAUCAUUAUUAAAGCACUCUCAUUGUGGCAAGUUGUAUACCAUGCACAGCAGUAUCGAAUGCCCUUCUCUGUACACUGAAAAAUAGAUCUUGAGGUAGUGAUGUCACAUAUUGUGUGAUUUUUGUCAAGGAGACCCUGACUCAGACUAGGCUGCUUGUCAUUUUGUGAGGGUAGGGUUUGCCCCAUUGAAUCAAGAGGUCAUUAGCUGCUAUGGUAUCUUGUAUACUUGAAUGAAUCUUCUGGACUGCUGGUCAUUUUUUUUAUUGGCAAUUUUUUUUUUUUAUCUUUAAUAAAAGUUGUUGGAAAAUGAAAAUUCAUUGCUUUUCAGUUAUGCUUAUUCUGUCCACUGUCUAUAUCAUCCACUUACCUGCCCCCUCUUAAUCUA